rnacentral:lncRNA from 1 species
AGUUUGUUUAGAGGUUUUUUAAAUCUUAAGUUGGAUUUUUUUUUAUUUAAUUAAAAGAAGGUGGAUUUAGGAUUUAGGAUUUAGUUUUUAAGGAACUUCAUGUUAUGAUGUUAUUUUGUAAUGGUAAAUUUUUGAAGCAUUUUUGUAUCUUGUUGAAAGAUUAUUUUAAUUGUGUAUCAAAGUUUUUAAGGUAGAUUUUUUUAGAUAGAAGUCA